GUUAGGUAGGCAGCUACAGUAGCUGAAUGAUGUUAACAUCUUCAGGUUUUGUUUCAUUAAAUGUAUUUUAUUUUAUCUGGGUGCUUACGUCACCUACUGACACCCUGGUACUACCCAUAGAUCCCGCUCUCCUCAGUCUGAGAAAACACUGAGAGAGAAAGAACAACUUGUCAGGUGGUGCAUUGGAGACUGAUGUGUUCCUGUCCUGUCUUUUCAUAAUACUAUUGCAGAUCGACAUAAAAGCCUAAAAGACAGCCGUGGUGUUGCUCUUCAUUUCUUGGUUCUCCUGUGGUGCAUAAGAAACCCGCUACAGAUUGGUGCCGUGACCCGGAUCAACAGAUCAGCUGCAGCAGAUCGCCGAGGGACCCCUAAACAGAACUGGAUCGACAUCACACGUUUAAAACAUUUGAGGGCAAGAACAACUUGUCAGGUGGUGCAUUGGAGACUGAUGUGUUCCUGUCCUGUCUUUUCAUAAUACUAUUGCAGGUAUGGUUCUAUUGUCUAAGAAUUAAGAUUAUACAUUCUUUGUAUUAAGGACUGGUUAUUAUUUUAUACUAUACAUUAUGGCUUUAUGUAU
rnacentral:lncRNA from 1 species